AAUGAACGUUGGCGGCAUGGAUUAGGCAUGCAAGUCGAGCGAGAAGGGUUUUGAAGCUUGCUUUAGAACCCGGACAGCGGCGAAAGGGAGAGUAACGCGUAGUUAUGUGCCCUAGGGUCCGGAAUAGCCACGGGAAACUGUGGGUAAUGCCGGAUAACAUCCCCGGAUCAAAGGUGUGAUUCCGCCCUAGGAGCAGACUGCGUCCUACUAGCUAGUUGGUGGGGUAAUGGCCCACCAAGGCAAUGGUGGGUAGCGGGUGUGAGAGCAUGACCCGUCUCACUGGGACUGAGACACUGCCCAGACACCUACGGGUGGCUGCAGUCGAGAAUCUUCGGCAAUGGGCGAAAGCCUGACCGAGCGAUGCCGCGUGCGGGAUGAAGGCCCUCGGGUUGUAAACCGCUGUCGUAGGGGAGGAAGGUUCCGUGAAGAGCGGAAUUUGACCUAUCCUAGGAGGAAGUACGGGCUAAGUUCGUGCCAGCCGCCGCAGUAACAC
rnacentral:rRNA from 1 species